ACGAACGCUGGCGGCGUGCCUAAUACAUGCAAGUCGAGCGGACCGACGGGAGCUUGCUCCCUUAGGUCAGCGGCGGACGGGUGAGUAACACGUGGGUAACCUGCCUGUAAGACUGGGAUAACUCCGGGAAACCGGGGCUAAUACCGGAUGCUUGAUUGAACCGCAUGGUUCAAUCAUAAAAGGUGGCUUUUAGCUACCACUUGCAGAUGGACCCGCGGCGCAUUAGCUAGUUGGUGAGGUAACGGCUCACCAAGGCGACGAUGCGUAGCCGACCUGAGAGGGUGAUCGGCCACACUGGGACUGAGACACGGCCCAGACUCCUACGGGAGGCAGCAGUAGGGAAUCUUCCGCAAUGGACGAAAGUCUGACGGAGCAACGCCGCGUGAGUGAUGAAGGUUUUCGGAUCGUAAAACUCUGUUGUUAGGGAAGAACAAGUACCGUUCGAAUAGGGCGGUACCUUGACGGUACCUAACCAGAAAGCCACGGCUAACUACGUGCCAGCAGCCGCGGUAAUACGUAGGUGGCAAGCGUUGUCCGGAAUUAUUGGGCGUAAAGCGCGCGCAGGCGGUUUCUUAAGUCUGAUGUGAAAGCCCCCGGCUCAACCGGGGAGGGUCAUUGGAAACUGGGGAACUUGAGUGCAGAAGAGGAGAGUGGAAUUCCACGUGUAGCGGUGAAAUGCGUAGAGAUGUGGAGGAACACCAGUGGCGAAGGCGACUCUCUGGUC
rnacentral:rRNA from 1 species